AGAAUACAGUUUUCACCAGUCAAAAAGAUUUGGAUUCUAUUUUACAAAGAGUUGUUUGUGGGCUUGAUCACCCACUGGUGGACUCAUCAUCCACCAUAUCCAUCGACAAGAAGGUCGUAUGUAUCCUUGUCACAGAUCCGAAACCUGAUGUUUGCGAGACUAAUUGGUAAUACUGGUGAAAUAACAAGCCUUUGAUGAUUAUUUAUGCAUAUGCAGCAACAUUGAUUCGCAUAAUGCCAAAGAGUAAUUAAGAACUCUCCCCAUCAAGCUGGUUUUGGCCAGGAACCAAAGAUACCCAUCUAGAAAAUUUGCACAAGUUGUAGUUGCUCCACCACACAGCUAAAAGAUGGGACAUCAAAGGAACUUAUGAAUAUGUUGGAUAUGAUCUCCAUUGAUGAUAAAAUCUUGAAGAUUUUAUAAAAUUUAUUUAAAGAAUCAUAGUUAGUCUAUCCAACAUUAAGGGGAGAAAAUAAACAGCUAAAGAAUGUAUGAGUUGAAUGAAUUAUCAUUGAUCCUCGGACUAAAGAGCGUGAAUAAAAGUCCAAAAAUGAAAGUAUGGAGAUAAUUCCAUUACAAAGAUUAGCAUAUGAGUUGCCAGGCUCAUUUACUGACCCUAAGAAUGUGAUUAAGUAACAAAUACCAGCUAUAAAUGCUCCAAUUAAAAUUGAUGUCCCAAAACGACAAUAUCAAACUGCUAAUGAGUCUAAAAAGCGCUUCAAGCGUGAAAGACUUAUCGGUUCUGAAUAUAAUAAUCCUCAUAAAAGAAAAGGAGCUUGAAUGAGAAUGGCAUAAUCGAGGAAUGAAAGAUUAAAGAUUUCGAGGAGAGAUAGAAAACAUGACAAGAAAGAAAUUCAGGUACCUGAGAAUAAAGAAAACUCAAAUAGCUAUGUCAUGUCUGGAACGAUAUGGAAUCGAUACCAAAUCGAUGUCGUGAAUACUUAUUCAUGUUAUGUAGCAGUUGAUGAGAAUGAGGAUCAUGAACCAUCUAUUGAAAAGUGUACACAAUAUGAUAAAUGACCGAAAAGAGAAAGAAACAAUAGAUGUAGAUCUCUUUGAAAGAGAAGAGUUUUCGGACCGGUAGUCCGUACACCUAAUGGUGUAAAACCAGUGGCAAGCAAAUGGGUCUUUAUGUGAAAGAAUGAAUGAGAUUGUGAAAAAAAAGGUGAGAUGCAAAAGAGUAGUUGCACAAGAGUUUUCACAAAGACCUGCAAUUGUUAUAAGAAACACAUCAUGUGGUGGAAGCAUCAGCUUUCAAGUUUCUCUACUCUGGUAAGAAUUGAAAACCACUGGAUAUGACAAUUAUGUCAAUGAUCCAAAAUGUAUAAACCACUGGAUUUGGACUGCUAGAAGCAGUAAAUGCUAGUUCUCGAGAACAUUACCGCGCAAGUAUAUUGAGCAUAUAAUAGAAAUAAUUCUUGGUGAUGAAGUACCAUAAUAUUGGAAAUUUACUGAUCUCUUUCAUGAUUGAAAGAUGUGAUUUUGUAUGACAAGAAGAAUGGUCAUAAUAGUAAGAUUUAUAAGAGGGAGAAUAACUUGUAUGUACAAGUAUGUACAAUAUGAAUGUUUAAAAGAUUGUCUAUAAAAACGAAAUUUGGACAUGGAAUCCAAAUAGACCAAAAUAUGAUAUUUUGUACGAACCAUAAGUCCAAUGGUCUAAGAGAUUAUCUGACAAUCAAACGAGUUUAUUGACUAAGUAUAUGCUUAUAGCAAUUCCUAAAAGAAUGAUAUAUAUGAUGGGAAUACAUCUCUCAAAGAUGAUGCUUCCAGGGGGAGAAUAUGAUGAUGCGUGUGGUUGUACUCUUUUUCCUUAUCAUUGGUUUUUUCCCACAGGGUUUUCCAUGUCAAGGUUUUAACGAGGCAAUAAAUAACACGCUAAUGAUAGACACCUAAAGAGGAAUGUCAUCAAUCUUCCAAAGUAUUUUUCGAGAUUUAAGAAGCAGGAGAAAAUGAGAUAGAUCAAUCAUACUUGAAGAAGAAUAAGAGAUGAACGCAUUCCAUUAGUGUAACAGAAUCAAAGGUCGAAAAUGUUUCCAAUCAAAGGAGACCCUCUAGAUGGAAUUAAAAUAUAAAAUUGGUGUCCAGAGAAAGAUCUUUGAGUCUUUUUUCAUCUCCAAUUUGAAUCAAGUCAUUCUCCAUUAUAUAACUCGAGAUAUGACUGUUUUCGUGGGACAUGUACAAGCUGUCUCAAAAUACCAAAUAUCGUAUGAUAUUCAAAAUACCACUCGAAUUUUCAUCUUACCAGAUCCAUAUCAGUGCCUAAAGUUAGACAUGGAUGUUAACUUCGAUUUCCAACUGGUUUGAAAUCAUUUUGUCUUACGGUCAUCAAGAUAUUCAAGUUUUAGUGAGGAGUGUCAAAUCUGCAAAAAGAAGUGAACCGGUCCAACCCCAAGAAGAAGGAGUUAAUUCAUCACAUUGGAGUGUGUCCUAUCAGAUAUCUCAAGUUAUAUUUUCAUCAAGGAGAGUAGAUGCGCGCUGCACUCUCUUUCCCUUAACCAUGAUUUUUCCCACUGGGUUUUCCUGGUAAAGAUUUUAAUGAGGCAGCAUUCUACGCGCUUUAGGAAAUAUUUUUGUAAUAAACAUCCAAGGGAGAGUGUUAUGAACCAAUUGUGUGGAUGUCCAUUAGGCCAUUAUGCCUUUGUAUCUGUAUAUAUAUGUACUACUAUCUAUGGAAUAAUAAGAACAAUCGAUUCCCUCUUUCACAACACAAAGCAAUUUUUAAAAUUUUUACCCAAAAAUUUCUUGAGUUCUUGAGUAGGAUCCACUUAAUUUCUUGAGUUCUUGAGUAUAAACUAUACUAUUAUUAUAUAUAGAUUAUGUUCAAACACAAAAACAUAAAAACAGAGAAUUAUUUUCAUUAAAAAAUCUAUACUAUAUAAAAGUUGAGGUUGCGAACCAUUGAAACCAUUCACAUAGGAUUUAUUUUACUUUUUGAAAUGUUAAUAUUUUCAGUAAAAUAUUUUUUUUUAAAUAUAUUAUUGCAUAUAUACGUUAAACUAACAAAAUAAAUAUGAAUAUUUGACAACUUACCUAAAAAUGGUAACUAUUAUAGUAAAAUGGAAACUUAAAGCAAAAUAGUAAUAUUAACAAAAAAGUACGCCUUCUUAGCUAUAAUAAACUCAAAAUACAUUUUAUAACAAACUAAUGUUAAAAUAGUUAAAUUAAAAAACUCAAAAAUUUAAAAACAUUUAAAAUUAAAUAAAACGAAAUUAGUAUUAAAUAUAACUUAAACUUAUAAAAUAAAUAUUAACGUUUGACAACUUACUUAAAAUGCGAACUAUAUAAUAAAGUAAAAAAUCAAAAACAAAACAGUAAUAUUAACAAAAAUCUUCUUCGGUAUAAUAAAUCCAAACUACAUUUCAUCCCAAAAUAAAAUGAUAAAUGGAUGUUAAAUUAGUUGAAGUAACAAAUGUAAAAACCAAUCUAAAAGCAUUUACAACCUAUAAGCCACUGAGACCGUCCACAUAGGAUUUGAAACCAUCAAUCAUAACAUGACAAGUCUUCAUCUGCAUUUAUUUUAUUUUUUAAAUGUUAAUAUUUCCAGAAAAUAUAUUUUAAAAUAAAACAAAAAUAUUAUUACAUAUAUAAUUUAAACUAACAAAAUAAUUAUGAAUAUUUGACAACUUACUUAAAAAUGGUAACUAUUAUAGUAAAAUGGAAAAUUAAAGAAAAAUAGUAAUAUUAACAAAAAAAUACAUCUUCUUAGCUAUAAUAAACGCAAAAUACAUUUUAUGCCAAACAAAUGUUAAAAUAGUUAAAUUAAAAAAAACAAAAAGUCUAAAAACAUUUACAAUUAGAUAGACCAAAAUUAGUAUUACAUAUAACUUAAACUAACAAAAUAAAUAUUAACAUUUGACAACUUAGUUAAAAAUGUGAACUAUUAUAAUAAAGUAUAAAAUUAAAAAAAAAACAGUAAUAUUAACAAAAAACUUCUUAAGUAUAAUAAAUCCACAGAUACAGGUUAUUUGUGGUCUUCUACUCAAACCAGAGAUGCUAAAGUCCAAAGUCCUAGAUCUUUGCUUUUGUUUUGUAUAGAUUGUUAAGGUUUAGUUUGUUUGUCUAAAUCUUAUAUCUUCUGGCCCCUUGGACCAUAUUAGUUUCGGGUGAAUUUAAUUCGUUUGUCUUUUCUUUAACUAUUUAACUUUGUAUAUUCUAAUCAUAACCGUUGAGAAUAUAGUUUAACUUUAUCACAUAUAGGUACAAAAUUAACUGAUAUUUUCUGAUUUGGUAUAUAAUAUUGAGAUAUACCGAUUCUCUAAAAUUAUUUUAAAUAUAAAGAUAUUUAAUAACAAAAAUUAAAAACCAGAAAAUGUGACAAAUAAUAUAGAUACCUAAAUCAGAAUCAAGACCGAAAAUUAUAUAUUCCUAUACAGACUCACACACUCGAAUUGAACUCAAAAUUUUAUUGGUUCCCUAAUAUUUUAUUUCAAUCAAAGCAAAAAUUAAAAUAACAAAACCUAAACCAAACCCAAAUUCAGUAUAACAGAACUAUUACUAAAACGAAAACCCACUACCGAACCGGGACUGAAACGAAAAACCAAAAACUAUAAUCUUGACUCAAACCGAUAUUAAUAAAAUAUCAUCAAAUCAUAAAAUUUUAAUUAAAAACGUUAACUAUAAAUACAAAUAUAAUUUUUAUUCCGCACAAUCGCGCGGGUCAGAAUCAAGCUUCUUUUUAACAUUGAGAAAAACAUUUACUACCAUAUGCUAUUUAUUGAACAAAUAUAUCAUAUACUAUUUUAAUAUACUGUGUAGCUGUCGUAGAUGUUAAUUCUUUAUAUGUUAUACUUUCAACGAUAAUGUAACUUGUUCAAUUACAAAUAAAUAGAUUUGUGACAUCUGAGUAUAUCUUUUCUAAGUCAUAACUUCUUUCAUUUGUGAAUUUUUAAUUUGGACCAGCCUUUUGAAAUUUUAUUAAAUGUAUUGUAUCAAAAACUAUAUAAUAUAUAGAAUCUUUGACCUACUUUAAUCAUAAUUAAUUUUGAUAUAUUUUUAUUUUAAGUAUAAAUAUAUAUAUUUUAAAAAUUUCGAAAAAAUUUGUUUAUAAAUAUUUUAACAAGAUCUUAAUUUUCUAAAAUAAUAUGUAAUAUUUUCAAAUUUCGUAACUAGUUUUGAAAUAUUAUUAUACAUUAAUAUAUUCAGUUAUUGUUUAAAUAAAAAAUAAAUAUUCUAUCAUAUUUUAUCUUUUAUAUAAUCACAGUAAAUCAUAUUAAAUAAAUAUUAUGUUGAUUUAAAUACUUUAACGAUAUCAGAAUUUUCAAAAAAAUUUAUGUAAAUAUUUUCCGUAAUUUCGUAAUUAGCAAUGAACUAUUAUGCAUUUAUAUAUGUACAGUUAUUGUUUAUAAAAUUAAAAAGAAAAAUUAUAUUCUAGUUUUAUCUAUUUUAUAAAUAAUAACCAAUCAUGUUAAAAUAAAAUUAUUAUAUUAAACUACAUAUGAUAAAAUUAUAUCAAAAUUGAUAGAUUUAUAAAUUUUAUUUUAUUAAUUAUGAAUAU